GAAGCCGUGAGGCGGCGCGGGGCCGGGGCUCGCAUGAGGGAGGAAGGGAGGGAAAAUGGCGGCUGCCACGUGGCGGGAUGGGGAGCGGUGAUCCAUGACUCCAUGGGGGCUGCCGCCUGUGGCUGACUCCCUUCCUAGGCAUGGAAGAGCAGAGCCUUGCGGAUUGGCACAACUUGUACCUUCUUGUGGGUAUGAGUCGUUGACUGUAGCAAGUAACAAACCGAGUCUGCCGUGGGACUGGCCGUCUCCCCCUGUUGUGUUUUUUGGUUGUUUGGUUUUCAGUUUUCACCUUUUUUUGUCCCCAGUAAGCGAUUACAGCCCAGUUUUUAAACUUUUUUUUAUUUUAUUUUACAGGAGCGCAGAAGCUGAAAAUUAUGGAGACGUAUCUGAUCUUGAAGAUCCUUCCCCAAAAAGGGAAAAACACUCUUGAGUUGUGAUGACAGAAGAAGAUGGGGGUAAAUUCCACAUGUGAAUUCUAGGAGUAGCUGUGACUAAAAUUUUAAUUUUUACUGGGAGGGGGAUGGAUCUGUUUCAUUUUGAUGCCUUUGUGAGUGGUAAUAUUUCUGGUUAUCAAGCAGAGCUCGAAAAGGCUAAUUUUAGGCUGGAUCUUAAUCUUGAUUUUUAAAUAAAGUUAAAAUUUGGAGCUUUAAUGAGAGAUUUUGCAGUUCUUCUCAUCAUUGCAAAGAGGGGCUGGAACACAGCUUACUGUGCCUAAAAUUAGCCUUGGCUGCUUCUAUACAAGUACAGUUGGGAUGAGUAGCCCAUUUUGUGCAGCUUUCAGGGAUGUGCUGCUCCUCUUUGGGCUGCUGCUAAGUGUUGAGCAAUUACAGUAAUGGUUUUGGUAGUUCAGUGGCCAUGCUGCGCUGUCCUGUGGCCGACCACACUGCAGGAGUAUUAAAUCCAGUGACACGUGCACCUUCAGUGGUGGCUCCUCUGCUGCUGAAGUAUGUUAGAAAGGUGGUUGCAGAGAGUGUCUAUGUACUGCAGAAGCUGAAGGUAAGUUUUUAAAGUCUGGAAAAUAAUUGUGGAAACUUACAGUCAUGAUUUUGGUAUCUAUGCCAAUAUAAAGCAUUCACAUGUAUGAAUAAAUCAAUAAAGAGACUUUGGCUGCA